rnacentral:rRNA from 1 species
AUUGAACGCUGGCGGCAGGCCUAACACAUGCAAGUCGAACGGUAACAGGAAACAGCUUGCUGUUUCGCUGACGAGUGGCGGACGGGUGAGUAAUGUCUGGGAAACUGCCUGAUGGAGGGGGAUAACUACUGGAAACGGUAGCUAAUACCGCAUAACGUCGCAAGACCAAAGAGGGGGACCUUCGGGCCUCUUGCCAUCGGAUGUGCCCAGAUGGGAUUAGCUAGUAGGUGGGGUAACGGCUCACCUAGGCGACGAUCCCUAGCUGGUCUGAGAGGAUGACCAGCCACACUGGAACUGAGACACGGUCCAGACUCCUACGGGAGGCAGCAGUGGGGAAUAUUGCACAAUGGGCGCAAGCCUGAUGCAGCCACGCCGCGUGUAUGAAGAAGGCCUUCGGGUUGUAAAGUACUUUCAGCGGGGAGGAAGGGAGUAAAGUUAAUACCUUUACUCAUUGACGUUACCCGCAGAAGAAGCACCGGCUAACUCCGUG